rnacentral:rRNA from 1 species
GAUAAAACGCUGGCGGCGUGCCUAAUACAUGCAAGUCGAUCGAUGGAUGCCCAGCUUGCUGGGAGGAAAUAGAGGCGAAACGGGUGAGUAAUACGUAAGCAAACCUGCCCACGAAGACCGGGGAUAAUCCCUGGAAACGGGGACUAAGACCGGAUAGGUAACAGAACCGCAUGAUUUUGUUAUUAAAGGUUAAAACACUGGUGGAUGGGCUUACGGUGCAUUUAGCUAGUUGGUGAGGUAACGGCCCACCAAAGGCGAUGAUGCAUAGCUGGUCUGAGAGGAUGAACAGCCACAUUGGGACUGAGACACGGCCCAGACUCCUACGGGAGGCAGCAGUAGGGAAUUUUCGGC